UGAACCAAACAACACAGCAAUGUACUUACAAAAACCAGGAGAAAACAGAGCUAAAGGCUAAGCAGGCUAGGACAACCCAGAAGCUAGUGGGGAAACAAAACUGGCAGACUGAAGACUGGGGAGCAUCCAAAAACAGACAGGAGUUGAACAGAGUCCACAAGAGAAAAAUCCAGGACAGCAAAAUCAGUUGAGUCCAAGAGGCUGAAGCUGACAAGCAGUAGAAGGCUUGGUGGGGAAACCCACAAUCCAGGAACACAGCAGAAGCUAUGGAGGGAUGUGAGCCGAUGAUCCGGCGAGGAGUGAAUGGAAGCACAGAGCUUAAAUACUGGAGGCUCAGAUUCCCACAAAGACUCACAUGGCUUCACACGCUCUGCUCCCUCAUGGACUCUGCUUCCCCACUUCUGGACUCCUUUUUCCUCGACCCUUUUUCUCCUCUUGUGAGUAUCCCUCUUUAGUUUACUUUUGUUAAUCCAGUUUAGUAUUGGUUGACUUCCGUUUCUGUAUUCGUAGUGUUUGCUGGGUUUUGAAUAGUUAGGUUUAGUUUUGUUUCCACAGUUCAGCUCUCCAUUUAUGUAUUAGUUUAGUUAUCUUUUUAAAUGAAACUCUUUCCAUUAUUCCAUUAUUCUGCAAGUCUCUCUGUGUCUGUGCCUGCGUUGUCCAACUCAGGGCCCAAACCGUCCCUUAAAUGACCCUGGGUCCGUUCCACGAAGCAGGUUCAACAAACUCUGUGUAACCCUGAACUCUGAGUUGAUCUACUCUGAGAUAGAAAACUCUGAGUUUUCGGUUUAACAACGGCUGAUUUGAGUUGGUUUAAUCAACUCGGAGUAGUUUCACCCAGAGUGCACCGCAACUAUAAAAAGACAGCAUCAAUGGAACCCCGAUUCGACGACUCACCGUGGUGACGGGGGAGCGGAGAGCUACGUUUUUUACACCACUUGAAGUGGACAUCUUAAUGCGUUCAUAUGGCGACUUCGAACACGUUUUUAGAAAGAAGUGCAGCACCUGCAGCUGCAAAAGAGGGAGACGGCGUGGGAGAACAUUGCUGCCCGGGUCAUUGCGCAAGUUUAAAUCACAAUAAUAUUAUAGGAAAACUGUUUAAUAGCAGCCUAUUCUGUUAUUUCAUUUAGGUGCAAUCCUGCGGGGGAGAAGCGCAUGUGGCAGGAGCUGAAGAUGAAAUAUAAAAACAUUGUUCAAACAGCCAACAGAAAGAAAGGAGAUGCCUGUGAAAAGGGAGGAGGCCCAGCAGCACCACCUCUAACGGAGGCAGAGGAGCUGGUCCUAAGCCAGAAUUUGGGAAGGCCAGUGGCUGAGGGAAUCCCUGGAGGGAGCUCAUCCUCUGAGACCACAUCCCAAGACACAAGUGCGUGUGUGCGUUCAUGCGCUCAUGCGCCCACUGAACAUUUGCCAUAAGGAAGCACAGAGCACUGCAUUGUUUCUGCGUACGAGCGAGUGUGUGUGCAGCCACAGCGAUGGCAUGCGUGAAGGGGUGUGCUUUAAAGACGGCAAGAGGAAAAGGGGCCACAGAAAAUUGGACCUUCCAAGCAUACUUGUGGAGAUGCAGGCUGAGAAGGAGCGGAACUGUGCCCAACAUGAUGAGAACAUCUGGUUGCUCCUCAGCGAGGCAAGAGAGAAUGAAGCGGCCUUGCAGCGGGAGGAGAUGGUCCAGAAUGCUGCCUUCAACCAGUCAUUCCUGGGUGUGCUGGGGCAGCUGGUGCAGGUAGUGGGCAGCCAGAGUCCACUUCCCAGAGACUUGAGAUUUAGUUGUAUAUAGUUUUACUUUUAGCCCUCCACUGUAGCACAGGCCCACCACAGUUUGUACUUUGCACAUUGUAAAUAGUUUGGAUUUUGCUGCUGACUAAUAAACUAUUUUGUGACUUAUGUGAUUGCAUCAUAACUUUUCAUUUUGUCUGUUAAGACACUGGUAGGAAAAGAGUCAACAGUCUGAACCAAACGAUUCUGUAUUCCCUAAUAAUGCAUUUAUGUUUAAUGGGAUUUAACAUGUUUUAACACAAACUACUUUAUGGCUCAUAAUUCUGUUGACUGAAUUACACCAAAGCAAUACUGAUUUAUCAAACUGGAAUAUUCUUAAAACAGCAGUUUUAAUGUUUUGGUGUUUGUCAUGUAAUCUUG
ensembl:lncRNA